rnacentral:snRNA from 1 species
AGCUUUAUGCAGUGGCAGUAUCAUAGCCAAUGAGGUUUAUCCGAGGCGCGAUUAUUGCUAAUUAAACCCCUGCAUGAAGUUGGAUUCUUCCAGAAG